AGAGUUUGAUCCUGGCUCAGAUUGAACGCUGGCGGCAGGCCUAACACAUGCAAGUCGAACGGUAACAGGAAGCAGCUUGCUGCUUUGCUGACGAGUGGCGGACGGGUGAGUAAUGUCUGGGAAACUGCCCGAUGGAGGGGGAUAACUACUGGAAACGGUAGCUAAUACCGCAUAACGUCGCAAGACCAAAGAGAGGGACCUUCGGGCCUCUUGCCAUCGGAUGUGCCCAGAUGGGAUUAGCUAGUAGGUGGGGUAAAGGCUCACCUAGGCGACGAUCCCUAGCUGGUCUGAGAGGAUGACCAGCCACACUGGAACUGAGACACGGUCCAGACUCCUACGGGAGGCAGCAGUGGGGAAUAUUGCACAAUGGGCGCAAGCCUGAU
rnacentral:rRNA from 1 species